GGACCCGCGUCUGAUUAGCUGGUUGGCGGGGUAACGGCCCACCAAGGCGACGAUCAGUAGCCGGCCUGAGAGGGCGGACGGCCACAUUGGGACUGAGACACGGCCCAAACUCCUACGGGAGGCAGCAGUGGGGAAUAUUGCACAAUGGGGGAAACCCUGAUGCAGCGACGCCGCGUGAGUGAAGAAGCGUUUCGGCGCGUAAAGCUCUGUCAGCGGGGAAGAAACACGGUUCGCGAGAGCCGCGGACGGUACCCGACCAAGAAGCCCCGGCUAACUACGUGCCAGCAGCCGCGGUAAUACGUAGGGGGCAAGCGUUAUCCGGAUUCACUGGGUGUAAAGGGAGCGUAGACGGCGAGACAAGUCUGGAGUGAAAGGCCGGGGCCCAACCCCGGGACUGCUCUGGAAACUGCCUGGCUGGAGUACAGGAGAGGUAAGUGGAAUUCCUAGUGUAGCGGUGAAAUGCGUAGAUAUUAGGAGGAACACCAGUGGCGAAGGCGGCUUACUGGACUGUAACUGACGUUGAGGCUCGAAAGCGUGGGGAGCAAACAGGAUUAGAUACCCUGGUAGUCCACGCCGUAAACGAUGAUCACUAGGUGUCGGGGGUUAGAAGGCCCCCG
rnacentral:rRNA from 1 species